AGAGUUUGAUCCUGGCUCAGAUUGAACGCUGGCGGCAUGCCUAACACAUGCAAGUCGAACGGAAACGAUGGGAGCUUGCUCCCAGGCGUCGAGUGGCGGACGGGUGAGUAAUGCUUAGGAAUCUGCCCAGUAGUGGGGGACAACUCGAGGAAACUCGAGCUAAUACCGCAUACGCCCUACGGGGGAAAGCGGAGGACUCUUCGGAGCUUCGCGCUAUUGGAUGAGCCUAAGUCGGAUUAGUUUGUUGGUAGGGUAAUGGCCUACCAAGGCGACGAUCCGUAGCUGGUCUGAGAGGACGAUCAGCCACACUGGGACUGAGACACGGCCCAGACUCCUACGGGAGGCAGCAGUGGGGAAUAUUGGACAAUGGGGGAAACCCUGAUCCAGCAAUGCCGCGUGUGUGAAGAAGGCCUGCGGGUUGUAAAGCACUUUCAGUAGAGAAGAAAAGCUCAGGGUUAAUACCCCUGAGUCUUGACGUUACCUACAGAAGAAGCUCCGGCUAACUCCGUGCCAGCAGCCGCGGUAAUACGGAGGGAGCGAGCGUUAAUCGGAAUUACUGGGCGUAAAGCGCGCGUAGGUGGCUAUGUAAGUCGGAUGUGAAAGCCCUGGGCUCAACCUGGGAAUUGCAUUCGAAACUGCAUGGCUAGAGUAUGGUAGAGGGAAGUGGAAUUUCCGGUGUAGCGGUGAAAUGCGUAGAUA
rnacentral:rRNA from 1 species